rnacentral:rRNA from 1 species
AUUGAACGCUGGCGGCAUGCUUUACACAUGCAAGUCGAACGGUAACAGGCCGCAAGGUGCUGACGAGUGGCGAACGGGUGAGUAAUGCAUCGGAACGUGCCCAGUCGUGGGGAUAACGCAGCGAAAGCUGUGCUAAUACCGCAUACGAUCUGUGGAUGAAAGCGGGGGACCGAAAGGCCUCGCGCGAUUGGAGCGGCCGAUGUCAGAUGAGGUAGUUGGUGGGGUAAAGGCUCACCAAGCCAACGAUCUGUAGCUGGUCUAAGAGGACGACCACCCACACUGGGACUGAGCCACGGCGCGGCUUCCUAGGGGAGGCAGCAGUGGGGAAUAUUGGACAAUGUGCGCAAGCCUGAUCCAGCAAUGCCGCGUGCAGGAAGAGUGCAUUUGGGUUGUAAACUGCUUUUGUACGGAGCGCAAAGGCUCUCUCUAAUACAGGGGGCUCAUGACGGUACCGUAAGAAUAAGCACCGGCUAACUGCGUGCCAGCCGCCGCAGUAAAAC